AUGAUAAAAAAAGGUGGAAGGCGCUGCGCCAAUCAGCCUGCAACAACGGCAAGACGGCGGAGAUUUGGGCACCAGCGGUGCCAAAGGUGCGCUGGCUUCCUCAUGUAUCCCAUCGCCGUCGCAUGCCCGCCGUCUCCUUCCUGCCCCAGACCACCCUGCUGUUGGUCAUCCCUUGCGAUUGCGCAUAGCGGCCUUCUGACAGAGCCAGGGAAUGGUAUGUAUGUUGCCGUCAUUGGUGGCCUCAAGGGAGUGCAGCAUAAGAAGCAUGCUACUGCUUUUGCAGUCAGACAUAUAACUGAUUAA
rnacentral:rRNA from 1 species